rnacentral:rRNA from 1 species
CCUACGGGGGGCAGCAGUGAGGAAUAUUGGUCAAUGGGCGCGAGCCUGAACCAGCCAAGUAGCGUGAAGGAUGACUGCCCUACGGGUUGUAAACUUCUUUUAUAAAGGAAUAAAGUGAGGCACGUGUGCCUUUUUGUAUGUACUUUAUGAAUAAGGAUCGGCUAACUCCGUGCCAGCAGCCGCGGUAAUACGGAGGAUCCGAGCGUUAUCCGGAUUUAUUGGGUUUAAAGGGUGCGCAGGCGGUAUGUCAAGUCAGUGGUAAAAUUUCGGGGCUCAACCCCAACUUGCCGUUGAAACUGGCAGUCUUGAGUGAGCGAGAGGUAUGCGGAAUGCGUGGUGUAGCGGUGAAAUGCAUAGAUAUCACGCAGAACUCCGAUUGCGAAGGCAGCAUACCGGCGCUCAACUGACGCUCAUGCACGAAAGCGUGGGUAUCGAACAGGAUUAGAUACCCCUGUAGUC